UACGUAGGGUGCAAGCGUUGUCCGGAAUUAUUGGGCGUAAAGAGCUCGUAGGCGGUUUGUCGCGUCGGCUGUGAAAACCUGGGGCUCAACCCCGGGCCUGCAGCCGAUACGGGCAACUAGAAUUCGGUAGGGAGACUGGAAUUCCUGGUGUAGCGGUGAAAUGCGCAGAUAUCAGGAGGAACACCGGUGGCGAAGGCGGGUCUCUGGGCCGAUAUUGACGCUGGAGGAGCGAAAGCGUGGGGAGCAAACAGG
rnacentral:rRNA from 1 species